GACAACGUGCGUCUUUUCCCUGGGAACAUCUGUCAAAACAGCAUCAUUAUUAAUUUGCAACUUGCAACUGGCGAAUACAGAGAUGGCGAAUUCUUCCUCACGUCUCUACCUACAAGUCACAGAGUAACUGGCAAAGAGAUCAUUACAACGGUAGAUAAGGAGUGCUAUCUUCUAGGAGAGCCAAAGAGGAGCUACAUUUACAGUAACAGUUUUGAGGCCAGAUACCAGUCAAGUUAUAGCAGAGAGGACUUCAUGAAGGAGGAUAGGAAUUUCCCAUGGAUGGCAAUGCUUGCUCAAGAGUGA
rnacentral:lncRNA from 1 species